rnacentral:misc_RNA from 1 species
AAGCCAGAGGCAUGCAAGUCCCUACUUGUGCAUUGAUAUCAAGAUGAACCAUUUGUUUCAUCAUCUUGUCCCGCAAUGAAUCAGUAUCAGCAGUGGAGAAACUGCGAUCAGCAUUGUCAAUGGAAAGGAAGGAAGCAGGUUGCACAAGUCUCUUCACAAGAGGCAAUGAAGCUGCAUGAACUCUCCAUAGAGCCAUCACUUUGUAUCAGGUGAGUCUGGGACCCCUUGUGCGUGGAUCUACGGCUAUAGAAGCAGCGGCGGAUGCAGGGCGGAUGAGCAGUGGCGAGUCGGGGACGCCUUGCCUCUGUGCAGCGCCGAGGUUGACGAGCAGGCGACGGUGUCCUGUGCCGUGGCGAGAUUAAGGGGUGCGGAAUUCUGUGCAGUGGGGUAGACUGAGAGGGUUUAGGUUUAGAAUGCGUUGGCGUAAACGACGACGUAGGAAUAGUGCUUUUUUACUUCCGUUC